rnacentral:rRNA from 1 species
GUUACGGUCACACCCGUUCCCAUCCCGAACACGGUAGUUAAGCUUCUCUGCGCCAAUGGUAGUUGGGGGCUUCCCCCUGCGAGAGUAGGUCGCUGCCGGGC